rnacentral:pre_miRNA from 1 species
ACAUACUUCUUUAUAUGCCCAUAUGAACCUAAACAACUAUGGAAUGUAAAGAAGUAUGUAU